CACAUACUAAUUGUGUAAAAAAAUCUUGUAAAACCUUAUGCACCUAGCCAAGACAUUACUUAAACCAAUAGUUAUUUUACUAAAAUAUUUUUGUAUUUCCAUAAAGCUACAAUCCCAUAUAUAUGUAUAAUAAGAAGUAUGUUUUUCAAGAGUCUCAAUCUUUUUAAUUGAUCAAGGCUUUAAUCUCAAUAAAUAGCUUCUGAAUUAACAUCCAAUUAAGAGAACUUCUAAAGUGAGAGAAAUAUGAUAUCUGGGAAAAGUAUGAUAAAAUUUAUUAUGUUUGUGAUGAUGGAGUUGAUUAUCCUCAUGAUACUCGAAGUGCAUGCUAAAGAAAAAACUUCUCUUUCUCCCGCUCCUACUGCACUACCAACAAGGCUUCAUCUUUUCCAACUUGAUGAUGAGAAUAUGAGUUAUAUUGAUCGUUGCAUUGAAAGCACACUUGCAAAGAGAACAGAAUCGUUUUAUAGUGUUAAAAAUCUUCUUAAAUGCCUUUUUAAUGACCCAAUGCAUCCUAAAGAUUAUCCCAUAAGCUUCGGCGAGGCGUGGAUAAGGUGCCAUCUUCAUUGUGAAUUGAGUCAUUUGACAAAGAAACUUAUUAGCGUCCAUCAUGCAGAUUAUAUAGCAGAUUGCUAUAGAGAGAAAAUGAAGAAGCAUUAAAGAUCUAUAUCUACAAUCAACGAGCUUCGAGUUUGAUUGUGUAGCAGAAUGCUACAGAGAGAAAAUGAAGAAGCAUUAAAGAUCUAUAUCUACAAUCAAUGAGCUUCGAGUUUGGGAUUCCACUAUUCAGAGUCUGCAAGUCAGAAGAAUUCAAGUUCCCUGUCAGCCGUCCGGACGAUCGAGCCAUCCCGUCCGGACGCCCAUCUAUCCACUGUUCCAUCCAUCCGGACGACGUGUCUCCCGUCCGGACGCUAGACAGACCAGCAUCAUCCGUUCGAACGAAGUGUUCAUUCUGUCCGGACUCCAUACUGUAUCGAGAAGUUUCUGUGCCAGCUUGCAUCCAUCCGGACAUUUUAGCAGCAUGUCCGAACGCCUCCCAGUACUCGAUCAGUUUCUGAUUUCUUUCCAAGUUCCAAGAAAUGGAAGAUCAAUCAACCGUCCGGACGAUGUGGUAUCCCGUCCGGACGCGCGUCUCAGUAAGGCAAGAAUCGCAAUUCAAAUAUGACCGUCCGGACGUCUGACAGCUGUGGUCCGGACGCGCGUACUUUAAAGAAGGAAAUCGCCGAUUCGACUUCAAUCGUCCGGACGACUGCCUAUCAUGGUCCGGACGCGCGCAUUACCGAUAUGGAAAUUGCGUGUUGAAGAAUAGCCGUCCGGACGCUCAUCCCCCAUGGUCCGGACGCUCGAGAGCCUUAUAAGGAAAUCACUUGCAGCGGACGUGCGACCGUCCGGACAAUGUCCUUAAACAGGAAAGAUUUCUCCACGAAAUUUUUGAAAAAUCUUGUCGUACAGUUGUCCGUCCGGACGGCCCAUGUCCACCGUCCGGACGGUGCCCACGUAUAUUUUGCCUGACGCUCACUUGAGCCCCCAGCCUAUAAAUAGAGGCCCCUGGGCACUGAGAACUGCAAGAAUUCGGUGUGAAUUCCAUUAGAGCUCAGAGAAGUCAUCAAUCCCUCUGAAGCCGUUUUACAAGUGUGAUGUGCUGUAAACCGAAGUCUAUCUUAGAGGUCGGCUCUAAGGUAAGGAGUUCCAUUGAAGACCCCUUCAGGUAGGUGAACCUGGUUGGGAAGCGUUCGUGUUGGGUUACACGUCAGAGAUCAAGGUACGACCACUGCAUCGGUACAUGUGAGUGUUACUGUCUUGUAUCUAGCUAUGUCUUCUGAAUAGUGGAAUUCCUGGGUUUGGCUGCCCCUGAGUAGUUUUUCUCUUAACUGAGUUUCCACUUCGUCAACAAAAAUCUGUGUGUCAUCUACUUUCCGCUGUGCUUUAAUUUUUGUUGACACUUAUGCACACACUUUAUUUUUAGAAGUCAAUUCAAUUUUUCAAUUGGUAUCAGAGCUUGGUACAUUCUGAGAAGAUUAAUUUUUUGAGUGUUAUUAUAUUUGACUUCUAUAUCUUUAUAUGUCUCAAAAUCUUAAUUAUGUUCCUACCUUUGAUGGUACGAACUAUGGCUAUUGGAAAGCUCGGAUGCGAUUUUUUUAAAAAUCUAUUGACUAUUGGAGUAUUGUUGACUCUGGUUGGACUAAACCAGAGGAUACAACUCCUGAAACAGUCCCUCUGAAAAACGUCCGACUUUCCAAUGAUAAAGCCCUCCAUGCUCUGUGCCAAGCACUUUCUCCCUCUGAAUUCGCCAAAAUUUCAAACUGCGAAUCAGCCAAAGAAGCAUGGCAAAUCUUGGAAACAACAUAUGAAGGCACGAAAUUAGUUAAAUCUGCCAAACUUCAAAUGUUGACUUCAAGAUUUGAAGAAAUUAAGAUGUUGGAAGAAGAGACUUUUGGAGAGUUUUACUCCAAGAUAAGUGACCUUAGAAACUCCAUGGUGAGUCUUGGGAAAUCUAUCUCGGAUGUAAAACUCAUCCGAAAAAUUCUAAGAUCUUUGCCCGAGCGUUUCAGGAUCAAGGUAACAACGAUCGAAGAAAGCAAGGAUCUAGUUGGAUCUCUUCAAACAUAUGAGCUGUCUCUGCCCCCAGUCAAGAAAUUGAAGACCAUUGCCCUAAAGGCCUCCAAAAAGUUUAAAAAUUUACAAUAUCGGUAUCUCAUAUUUUUGCGCAUUUUAAAUUCACCCAUUUUUUGUUAAAAUGCCCCCCCUUCUUUUGAAAUCCUUAAGAAAUCUGAGAGGCUUCUAAAGGACUGUUGAUAUGAAAAAUACAGCAUUACUUUGUAAUAUUGAUUUUAUGUUGAUCGAU